GCUAGCGUAGCUUAAAAUAAAGCAUAGCACUGAAGAUGCUAAGACGGGCCCUAAGAAAGCUCCGCAUGCA
rnacentral:tRNA from 1 species